rnacentral:rRNA from 1 species
GAUGAACGCUAGCGGGAGGCCUAACACAUGCAAGCCGAGCGGUAUUUGUUCUUCGGAACAGAGAGAGCGGCGCACGGGUGCGGAACACGUGUGUAACCUGCCUUUAUCUGGGGGAUAGCCUUUCGAAAGGAAGAUUAAUACCCCAUAAUAUAUUGAGUGGCAUCAUUUGAUAUUGAAAACUCCGGUGGAUAGAGAUGGGCACGCGCAAGAUUAGAUAGUUGGUGAGGUAACGGCUCACCAAGUCAAUGAUCUUUAGGGGGCCUGAGAGGGUGAUCCCCCACACUGGUACUGAGACACGGACCAGACUCCUACGGGAGGCAGCAGUGAGGAAUAUUGAACAAUGGGUUAGCGCCUGAUCCAGCCAUCCCGCGUGAAGGACGACGGCCCUAUGGGUUGUAAACUUCUUUUGUAUAGGGAUAAACCUACUCUCGUGAGAGUAGCUGAAGGUACUAUACGAAUAAGCACCGGCUAACUCCGUG